AAAAUAAAUGCCAUUUUUUGUAAAUCAGUUCUUCCUGGUAUUCUCUCCCAUCUCUUUCUCCCUUCCUCUCUUAAAUGAGAAAGAGAAAUGGAAGGAGAAAGAGCGGUAGGCGAAGGAGAGGAAGUGCAGAGAAGAGAAGAAGAGGAUUGGAUGAUUUUCUUUUCGUGAGAAGUGAAGAGAGAG
rnacentral:ribozyme from 13 species